CUUAAAUUUGAUUUUAAUUUACUUACUCGAUUAUCACCAACUAUUCUUUGGAGGUGUUUGCCCUUGAAAGGGCUUGUGUCUGCUCAUCACGCUAUACCAGUGGUUCUUGUCGUGUGAUCCCAAGACCAGCAGUAUCAGUAUCACCUGGAAACUUGCCUGGAGAUGCAAGUUCUCAGGUUCCAACCAAGACCUACUGACUCAGAAACUAAAAGGAAACUAAGGCUGCCAGAGGCCAACAGCACAGCUGUUCAGUGACAAAGCUGAGACCUGAUGUCUAGAAUUCUCGGCAAGCCGGAAACCAUCAGCGAUGGGAUCAUCAUUAACUCCCAACCACAAAACAAGAGUCAAUGGCUUCGUUACAAAAGAGUUUCAAAUACAUCCCCACCUGACCCCCAUGGCCAUGAACUUCACGAGGAGCUCCUGCAAUUCUGUGCUGGCAGGGCUUCAUGUAGAGCCAACCUCAGAACGCCCUGCUUAGUGACGCAAGUUAUCAUCAGUUGCCAUUCCCAGCCUGCAUUCCAGCAGUUUGUCCGCAAAGAGCAACCCUAAACUCCAGACCAAAUAACCCCAGGACUACGUGGCUGUAGAACGUGAACAAAAGCAGACAGGUUUUGGAGGAAAGUCAGAAUGUAGAGGCAGCAGUCAACAAGGGAACCCAAAUCAGAAACCGUGGCCAAACUCUGUAUGAGACCUGUAGCUCCUAAUCUGGUGAUUACGAAGUGGGAGACAGUUCAAAAAAGGUUUCUUUCAUUAUGUCCUGAUGGCUCCCCAAGAGAAACUGAAGCCAAAAGGGAGAAAGCAUUAAAUUAAUUAAGAACUGAUGCCAUGAGACACACAAGGGAUUGACUUAAAGAUAUGUAUCGGUUGAAUUCUAGGCUUGUAUAAUAGACCAAACUGUAGAGACGGUAUUCCUUCUUCGAGGAGGAACGUUUUUUUGUGAGUGAAAACUCACAGUUGGUGAGUCGAAAAGGCGCUUAGAAGCAGCCCCUGCCUGCAGGCAGCUUCCACUCCAGAGGAGGAGCAAAGACCUGUUUCCAUGGAACAAUCGAACACGUAGCACGGGCCACAGCAGGGAUGUAGCACCAAGUCAGGCGUGUUCAGAUGCACUGACCGAGCUGUAGGGGAAGAGGAUGGGGCCAAGGCCUCAAAUCAUCUGCCCAGGAGCGGGGGUUGCCAAUGCAGCAUCUUUGAAGGUUUGGGAAUGGAGUGCAGACAUGGGGAAGGACUGGAUUUAAGAUGAGACCUUGGAAUCCCAGUUGAUGAGAAGCCAAGGAUGAAGGUGGAAGAUGGAGGAUGGUAGAGAAAGAGGAAGACAGAAAAGUCUGGAAGCAGAAGACCCUGGAGGAGGAGAGAAGGGAGAGGGCGUAAGUGGAGUGGGGUUCAUGGCACCACUGUUCACAACAGCCAAGAGGGGAAGCAACCCAAGUGUGCCUCGGUGGAUGAACAGAUGAACAAGAGGCUGAAAAUCACCCAUCAGCUGGCACAAUGAAGCACCGUGAAGUUGAAAAAUGCUUUGUGCGAUGCUAAUAAUAUUUUGGCAGUGACAGUGUUGAAGAUCUAUCACAGCUAUUCUUUUCAGAAAAAGUAAUAGCUCCUCUGAGGAAAAAUUAUAUUCUCAAAAUUAGAAGGCUCUUAUAAAAUAAAUCAUGAUUAAAGAAGCUACCUUUCAAUUAGACCACGUAUUCCGUGUCUAUGAAUGUGCAAGGCGUGGGGUUUGGCACCGACGGGGGACGGAGAAAUGAAGAGUAAUGGAAUGGAAGAGUCGCGGCCCUCGGGCCAGCCGCAGUC